CCUACGGGUGGCAGCAGUGAGGCAUAUUGGUCACUGGGCGUAAGCCUGAACCAGCCAAGUCGCGUGAGGGAUGAAGGUUCUAUGGAUCGUAAACCUCUUUUAUAAGGGAAUAAAGUGUGGGACGUGUCCUGUUUUUUAUGUACCUUAUUCAUAAGGAUCUGCUAACUCCGUGCCAGCAGCCGCGGUAAUACGGAGGAUCCGAGCGUUAUCCUGCUUUAUUGGGUGUAAAGGGUGCGUAGGCGGCCUUUUAAGUCAGCGGUGAAAGUCUGUGGCUUAACCAUAGAAGUGCCGUUGAAACUGGGAGGCUUGAGUAUGUAGGAGGCAGGCGGAAUGCGUGGUGUAGCGGUGAAAUGCUUAGAUAUCACGCAGAACCCCGAUGGCGAAGGCAGCCUGCCAAGCCAUGACUGACGCUGAUGCACGAAAGCGUGGGGAUCAAACAGGAUUAGAUACCCUUGUAGUC
rnacentral:rRNA from 1 species